GACGAACGCUGGCGGCGUGCUUAACACAUGCAAGUCGAACGAGUGGCGAACGGGUGAGUAAUACGUGGGUAACCUGCCCUCCUUUUUGGGAUAAGCCUUGGAAACGGGGUCUAAUACCGAAUAAAGGGGGAUGGGCUCGCGGCCUAUCAGCUUGUUGGUGGGGUGAUGGCUACCAAGGCGUGACGGGUAGCCGGCCUGAGAGGGUGACCGGCCACAUUGGGACUGAGAUACGGCCCAGACUCCUACGGGAGGCAGCAGUGGGGAAUAUUGCACAAUGGGCGGAAGCCUGAUGCAGCGACGCCGCGUGGGGGAUGAAGGCCUUCGGGUUGUAAACUCCUUUCGACAGGGACGCGGUACCUGUAUAAGAAGCACCGGCUAACUACGUGCCAGCAGCCGCGGUAAUUC
rnacentral:rRNA from 1 species